AGAGGCCAUGGCUCAGUGCUAGAGCAUCUGUUUGGCAUGCAGAAGGUCCCAGAUUCAAUUCCUGUUACCUCCA
rnacentral:tRNA from 1 species